AAUCAACGCUGGCGGCGUGCCUAACACAUGCAAGUCGAACGCGACUGGGGCUUCGGCCUCAGUUGAGUGGCGAACGGGUGAGUAACACGUGGGUGACCCUACCUUCGAAUGGGGGAUAACGUCCCGAAAGGGACGCUAAUACCGCAUAACAUCCUGCCUUUGAACAGGCGGAGAUCAAAGCCGGGGAUCGCAAGACCUGGCGUUUGAAGAGGGGCCUGCGUCCGAUUAGCUAGUUGG
rnacentral:rRNA from 1 species